rnacentral:rRNA from 1 species
CCCUUUGGGGUGUGACUGCGUACCUUUUGUAUAAUGGGUCAGCGACUUAUAUUCUGUAGCAAGGUUAACCGUAUAGGGGAGCCGGAGGGAAACCGAGUCUUAACCGGGCGUUAAGUUGCAGGGUAUAGACCCGAAACCCGGUGAUCUAGCCAUGGGCAGGUUGAAGGUUGGGUAACACUAACUGGAGGACCGAACCGACUAAUGUUGAAAAAUUAGCGGAUGACCUGUGGCUGGGGGUGAAAGGCCAAUCAAACCGGGAGAUAGCUGGUUCUCCCCGAAAGCUAUUUAGGUAGCGCCUCGUGAAUUCAUCUCCGGGGGUAGAGCACUGUUUCGGCUAGGGGGCCAUCCCGGCUUACCAACCCGAUGCAAACUGCGAAUACCGGAGAAUGUUAUCACGGGAGACACACGGCGGGUGCUAACGUCCGUCGUGAAGAGGGAAACAACCCAGACCGCCAGCUAAGGUCCCAAAGUCAUGGUUAAGUGGGAAACGAUGUGGGAAGGCCCAGACAGCCAGGAUGUUGGCUUAGAAGCAGCCAUCAUUUAAAGAAAGCGUAAUAGCUCACUGGUCGAGUCGGCCUGCGCGGAAGAUGUAACGGGGCUAAACCAUGCACCGAAGCUGCGGCAGCGACACUCAGGUGUUGUUGGGUAGGGGAGCGUUCUGUAAGCCUG